UCGGCCUCCCAAAGUGCUGGAAUUACAGCCAUGAGCCACCAUGCCCAGCCAAAGAUGAAAACUUUUAAAAAAGGAUUGUAGAACCUUUGACCAAUAUGGGACCUACUUGAUAAAUAUUUAAUAUUGGUGUGAAAAAUGUAAGUCAUAGACUAUGUUGGCAGGCCUGAACAUGGGAAGAUAGAAAAUUGACCGCCAUCUACAUACGACAUAAUUUUCUGCUUCAGCCUGAGAUCCCAAGAACCACUCCCCUUCCUAUGCCAUGUAGUAAAACUCACAUCACCUCUUUUAGUUCAUUUAAAAGGCCUUCCUGUCUGCAUAAAGAUGAUUUAGUGUGUAGCAAAUCCUGAGAUUGUUUUAAAGCACUGUUUAAAGUUCAAACUCAACAGCUGGAUUUUUUUUCCCUCUGCUUUGAAGAGAGUCACUAUAGUUGGAACAACUUAUUCACGCUAGCUCUUUGAAACACCUGUGUUCCAGGUGAAGCCAAAAAAAAAAAAAAAAAAACUAAAGCUUGAAUCUAGUCUUUUCACCUCUCCAUUAAAAAAUAAAUAUAUCUCUAAAACUUCCCAGCUGGUGGGAAUGAAAUGCUGUCAGUGCUCCCAACUGUUAGAGGGUAAUAUUGAAUAAUAACAAAGCCACACUUAAUUUGAGCUUCUGAAAAGCCUCAUAACCUCAUUAUCAUUCUCCUGAACUGCUUAACCUUCUGGUUAACCUUCUGAUUAUUAACCUCUUGACAUACUUAAUUCAGGUGUGAGAGUUUAGCGAAGCUCAUGGGACUGUAUUUAUUUGAUCUUUUUUGUCAUGUCCCACUGUGUUGACUUUAUUUUUUAAGAUUGCUAGACACCAGGAGGCAUGUGUUAGGUGGAGACCUAGAGGUUUCAGAAGCCACUAAAUAUAUCAGACUUGCCAUAAUUGGAGGAUAUGGUGAAUCAGUGGGGCUUUUAGGCACUUCAUAGACCAGCUGAGUCUCCUGCUAUCAACCCAAUUUAUUUGAGAGCAGUACCUCAGGAAACUUAAUAGACCUGUAGCACACUAGCACAAAUCUGGAUUUUAGCCAGAGUACAGUUUAUUUAUGUGCUGCUUGUAUUAUUUUGCUCUCUGCAUAUUCUAUGCCUGUCAUUAUUAAGUAUUAAUCAAAAAUAUUGAAUUGUAUCUUUGGCAGUGGGUUUAAAAAUUACACGUUUAAUUGAUAGUUUACAUCACUUAGAGGUGGCAAGAGAACCAGAUGGUAGAAAAUAGGAUCAGGUUGAAGUGGCAUUUUUUUUACCAAAGAAAAUAUGAUUUGCAUGAGUAAGCAAAGUUUUGGGGUUUUUAAUGUGUGCUUUUGUUUUGGGGGGAUAUGGGGACUAUUAAUCAGUUAUAGAAUAUUAAUCCUUUUCUGUAAUUAGGGUUAAAUAUGAAGAAUACUAAUCUGAUAGGUAAUAUUUAUCACUCUGAGCUCAAGACUAAGAAACGCUUCAGGUUAUUAACCCUUUACCAAAACCAGGAGUUACCUUCUGUAGAGGUUCUCAGAGGUCUCACAGAAACUAGUACUUUUAAUUGUUCCCUCAAGUUCCCAUCUGUCAAAAAUAUGUCCUGUAGAAAACCUUUCUUGGUGUAAGUCAAGGGCUUUUUGUCCUUUGAGUGAAUGAGUAAACUCUAAAGGAAUGUGACUGUCACGGACAUGUUUCUUUGAUGCCAAAAACCCUGCAUGAGACCACAUUAAUAAAAAGUGAAUAAAGUUUUUCUCCUUCUUCAUUGAUGAUAUCCUUUUGAGAUGGCCUAGUCUUUCCUUUUGAGAUCACAGUGGCUUAAAGGAGCAUUUUUUUUUUUUAAAGACAGUCUCACUCUGUCACCCAGGCUGGAGUGCAGUGGCAUGAUCUCAGCUCACUGCAGCCUCCACCUCCAGGGUUCAAGGGAUUCUCCUGCCUCAGCCUCCUGAGUAACUGGGAUUACAGGUGCCCGCAACCACACCUGGCUAAUUUUUAUAUUUUUUAGUAGAGACAGUGUUUCACUGUGUUGGCCAGGCUGGUCUUGACUCCCGAUCUCAGGUGAUCCACCCACCUCAGCCUCCCAAAGUGCUGGGAUUACAGGCAUGAGCCACCGCACCCAGCCAAAAGGAGCUUUUUUGAGUGGUUGCCAGUUUCUUUGUUCCUUAUAUUCUUUUGCUUUUUUCCCUGGGGAGAAUGUUGGAAAGAAAUAGGGGCACAUUCAUACAUUUUGAAAAAGGCCAUGGACUUUGAUAUCAGGCAGCUCUGAGUUCAAAUCCUGAUUUUUUUUCCUCCACUUACUAGCUUUUUGACCUUCAAAAAGUUACUUGAUACUCUUCCCUAAGCCUCAGUUUCCUCAAUGAUAAUGGAGAUGAUAUUCUUACUCACAGUUAUUUUAAAGGAAUAAAUGAAUUAAUGUACGUUGAACAUUUGGCAUACCACCUAGCAUGUAUUGAUGUUUUAAAAAAAACUCAUUUCCCCUCCUCCCUCAUAUAACGAUGUUGAUGAUGAUGAUGAUGAUGAUGACGAUGAUGAUGAUGAUGAUAGCAGCUACCACCUAAAUCGUUUUCUGUGUGCCAGGCAUUUAUAUGUGAUUCUAAAUCCUAGCAGUAACUCUGUGUAGUAGGUGUUCCUGUACCUGUUUUAUAAAUGCAGGAACAGACUCAGAGAAGUUAUUUAACUUGCCUAAUGUUAUCAAGCUACUAAGUGGCAGAGUCAAGAUUCUAACCUUGGUCAUUUUGAUUCCAAAGCCUACAACAAACACACCGCCUCCCACUGCUGAACCUGUUAACUCCUUAUUUUAAAAAUCAAUUUCCAGGCCUUCUCCCUCCUGAAGUAGAAUUGUUUUGUUCUUACCUCUUUUUUUAGUUUUCUAUUUUUGAAGUUUACUUUAUCUUUUGAAGGACAGAGUACAAGAACGAGGGCUGUGAUCUAGUGCCACGUCCGCUGCACACUAAGACCUUUGACUAAUUUCUUUACCUCUCUAAACCUCUUUGCUCUGUAUAAUGGGAACCCAUAAUGGGACUUACUUCUUACAGUAAUUAGGAGUAGGUGAGGCAAAAUAAAUUUAAAGCUGGAUGCCUAACACAUAGAAAAUUGCAGUAAAUUUCAGCUGUUUUCAGUCAGGCUUCUUUGUUCAUUUACAUUAAAAUCUUUUUGCACCUUCUUGCCCUCUCUCCUUGAUUUUUACAUGUCAAUGUCAGUCUUUUUCCAACCUCUUGGCUGUUGCCUUGCAUUCAUCCAUCUUUUUUCUCAGUCUUGUCAUUGAGUUAACAUGUUCUCUACACCCACUUAGUACCCAGUCAGUGUUUAUUGAUGCUAAUGAUGAUGGUUAAACAAAGAUGCUGUUGGCACCAGUCCUGAAGGCUCUGAGACUCCCUGAGUAAUCAUGACUUCCUAAAAACAGAAAAGUACUCAAUCAUCUUAUUUAUAAUUGAAGGUCAGAAUUUGAUGUCAGCAUUUGUUUCUGUGGUGACUGUGUAGCUUUUUCUGAGGAAUUACCUUUGACAGUUGGGGUAGUCAGUAUUUCUGGUGUGAGGCUGAUUAUUAUGCAUUCUUAAAUUACUUCCUAAAAUAGAUGCAGCAUCGUAUAGGUGGGUUAAACAAAUAUUGAUCAUGGUACAGAUCUGCUUUAAUUGGAGCAAGAGGUCAGGAGAGGCUUAUCAUUGAGGUGUAGAUGGCUGCCAGGCUCUAGAUUAGUUACCUGGUCUUCUUGCCCAUAAUCUUUUUUGCGUCAGAGAAAAUUGUACAGGCCUAUUUUUAAUUCUAAGCAACCCUCUCUGUUCUCUCCCUUUUUGAUAUCUCUAAUAUGUUCCCACCUAAUGUCCUUGAUCUUCAGAAGAUGUCUCAUUUCUUGCUUUUUCUUGCCUCAAAUUCUGUCCUCCAUGAUAACGUUUUCUUCCUCAGCAAAUUUUGUGGGAAUCUAGCAGGAUGUGCUGCUUGUUAUAUUUGGGCACUGUCCACUAACAAUUCAGCUGCUGACACUGGUUGCAUUAUUCUAAAGAAUGUCAUGUUGUUAAGGUUGAAUUUAAAACCCAUUAAUGGUGAGAAGCUUCCAUAAUUUUAAUAUCCAGGUUUUUUAAUAAAAGAAGGAAAGAAAUGGAAAAAUAAAUUUUAAAGAUAAACUUUUAUGCAAAUGAAAAGCAGAUUGUAACCAAAUGCAAAUAAAUACCUCAGUGUGGCAUAUUUCAUUUAGUAGAAAGUAGAAAUUGUUAAUUUUUACUGUAUCUAAUGAUUCCCAAACUUAUAUUUUUAACUUUGAUCUCCCAUCAAAGGCCUGUCCUGUAUUUCCAGCAAUCUCUCAUUUAGACUUUAAAAAGAAAUCUGUAAAGGGCUACUAGUCCAAGCCCUGUACCCUGCCCCCACCCCCCCACAAAAAGUAGCCAGGAGUUCCUUUUUUUAUAUACACAUGCACAUAAACAUUUAUACACAUUUAUACAUACGUAUGCACUAACUUUUUAGUUCUCAUGCACUUAAAAAAUAUGAGGGGAUAUGAAUCUAUUUAAGCAUAUAUGAUUCAUAAGUGCAGGGAAAAUGUUUCUUGUAUCGUCAAGAUUAUUUUUAUAAUUUGACUAAAGAAGGGUAAGAGGUAAAAUACUUGAAGGAAGUGAAUACUCAGGAGGUUAGAAAGAGACACUGAGACAAAGAGAAUGAGGUAGCAAAAUUUGCCUCUUGAUUUUUUUAACCUUUUUAUUUUUCAGUCAUUGGCCAAAAGGGUAUCAUUAUUUGUCAGACAUUUCUUCACUAGCAGUUUAGACUUGUUACGUGGAAAUAGCCACAAGUUGUUAUGAGGAUUAAAUGAGGUGACCUAUGUUAAAAGUGGCACAUGGUAAGCUCAAAAAUACUUUUCAGCAAACAGAUAAAUCCUCUGCAAAUGUGGGAUUAUUUCUUAUUUUGGUUGUGUUCUGCCAGUAACAGAACUAAGACUAAAAUUCAGGUGCUGGAAGAAAUGAAUAAAAGUACUUGGGUGGAUUGAGCAGUUACUUCAGGUGUCUUUGGAUUCAAUUUCUUCUGAAAGGAAAGACUAAACCUCAAAAAGAGAAAAAUUAGUUAUUUAGCAUAACCUGCUACUUGUGUUGUGGGGAUUCAUGAAAUAGUUCAUAUGAAGUACUUAAAGAAGUGUCUGGCACAUAGUGAGCACUCAAUAAAUGUCCAUUUUAUUUUUAUUACUUUUCAUGUUGUUGUUAAAAAACGUUUUUUUGAGACAGGGUCUUGCUCUGUCGCCAACGCUGGAGUGCAGUGGCAAUCAGAGCUCACUGCAGCCUCGAACUCCUGGGCUUAAACUUAAAAUCCUUUCACUUUAGGCACAAGUAGCUGGGAAUACAGGUGCGCACCACCACACCCAGCUAAUUUUUAAAUUUUUUUGUAGAGACGGGAUCUCUUUAUGUUGCCCAGGCUGGUCUUGAACUUCUGGCCGUAAGCAAUCUUCCUGCCUCGGCCUCCCAAAGUGCCGGGUUUAUAGGUGUGAGCCACUGUAUCUGGCUUAAAGAAAUUUGUUAAGGAUGAACCAUUUUAGGAAACCAAAUAUGAGUGUAUGUGUUUUUCAUACAGUAUAGAUAAAUUGCCAAUUAGUUUGCACAUCUAAUUCAGAAAUUUGUAGGUGCUGAAGAAAGCUUUUUUGUUGAUGGUUUCUCACUUGUUGAAAUCUCUUUAGUUAUUGGAAAUUAGUAAUUCUAAUUUAGAGAUUUAUCUCUUUAGAAGAAUAUAUCUUUGUUGUGCAACUUUGUUGCUCUUAUUCCUGGUGGCUCUAUGAUGGCAAGUCUGGCUUAUUCAAUUGAAAAUCAGAACCUAAGGAGCUUUAUGAGAUGAAUAGCCAUAACAGUGUUGUAAUCUUUGAGUGAAUUGCAGUUGCUUGUUUAAUUGUCUGUCUCCCUUGUUAGGCUGUUGAGUUUCUCAGUGAAAGCAGUGGGCUGUCUUGUACACCACUGCAUUUCUAGUACCUAGAUUGGCAUCUUGUACAUGCUGCUAUUCAAAAUUUGUUGAAGAUUGAAGACAGUGACUUCUCAUUUGGAAAAAACAUGGCAAGGGAAGGAAUACUACAUUAUGUAAUACAAUACUGAUUUUCUGAUUUUGCUUGAAGCCUGGUUUUUGCAGCAUUCGAGUAAUGGCAGUCUCAUGUAUUUCAUUUUCUCUUUUAAUAGUAAACAAAUUGAGGUAAUAGAACUUCAUGGAAAGGGUCAGACUUCAGAAUCAUUACAAUCUAGAUUUAAAUGCAAACUCUGUGUGGAGCAGCGUAACCUCUCCCAGCCUCAGUGUGCUUAUUUCUUAAAUAGAAAUACAGCAGCUAUAAAGUAGGUGUUAUGAGGAUUAAAUGAGAUCAUAUAUGAAGUGGCACAUAGUAGCUUCAAGUAAACAUUAAUAUCCUUUCUCCUUUUCUUCUCCUCAUAGCCCAUAAUUAAGAAUAAUUCAACUAUUUUUUGUUUCAUAGAAACCUGCUUAUGGUGGUGAUAUUUGGUUAAGAAAUUGGAUUAGCAGACCUAUAAAGGCAAGUUUCCACGGGAAACAGCUUGGUGGGAGUGGAGAGAGCACUAGACUAGGAGUCAGGAAACCUGAGCUAGUCUUGGCUUUUUACUGACUGGGAAUGUGACCUUAGGUAAAGAAUAUAACUUCUCUAGCCCAAGUUUGUGUUUAAGUGAUGUUCUCCAGUGACUAACAUGAGAAAGCAGUAAAAAAGCUUGUAAUAUUGUUUUUAAAAAUUAACUCUUUAAAACAAUACAGAGACAUUGUUACUUCUCUUGGGCACCUGAGACAUCAGAGCUACCUCCUUCCCCCGCCCCCACUAAAACACUUGCAUCAUUCAGGUUUUUUUGAAGCAAAUCAGUACAUUUGAAAUCCAUAUUUCAUGGAGCUACUUAACUAAUUGCUGCAAUCAGCAGCAAUUUGUUUUAUAGUAGGGCUGUUCAAAUCACUUUGAGGUUGGCAUACCAUGCACAGUGUGUUUUUAACAAUCAUAUUUUUAAUGGCACGUUUAAAUAGGAGAGAUGGUUAAUCUGCUCAUAUUCUUCUGAAAACCUUAACUUUGGUCCUAUAGUUUAUCUUCAUCCAAUGGUAACUUAAAGGGCCAUAGCAAAUUCAUUGACCCAGUGGGUACACCAGCUGUUGGAGUGGCUGUCCCAUUUAGAAAGACCAGGAGAGGGAAGGAGCACCCUGUUUUCACUCUUGUUUGGAGACCCUCAUUAAAUUUCUCAGAAACAAUAAUCAGAUAGAUGCUGUUCAAGUUAAUGGCACCUCUGAGUCCCUGUCAAGAGAGCUUUAUUUAAUGUGCAACAGACCUGGAGUGAUGCAGGUGUCUUUUCAGGCCCUCAUUUAAUUUAAGCUGCUUUAGUUGGCAUGGCAACUAGUUGAGACAUCUGGGAGACAUUAUGCUGGGGAUUGAGACUUCAGAGGAUUUCUGCUAGAGCAAAGCAAAAACCGUAUCAUAAGGUGGUGUGUAUUGCUUCUGAAUUUUUGAAGCUGUAUUGUUAGAGCUUCAAAUUCAGGAAUUAUUUUCCAAAGAAAAUUUUAAAAUGUUGGCCUGGUUGUCUCAUUGUUUUCUAUAAAGAAAAAAACUGCAUUAUUCAUGGAGUGAAAAAUGUUUUUCCCCUAAGAAUUUACUUUGCUAAACUAAAGGUUGACAAAACGUAUUCUCUGCAAAGUGGCUGUUUUAAUCACUUUAUAAAAAUCCUAUAUUUAAAAUUUUCCAGUCUUUUAUGUUUAAAAGAUACUAAAGAAAGGGAAAGCAUUUCUGCACAAGGGUAAAUGGAAAAUGGUAGAGGUAGAUAGGAGCUCUGUGUGUUUUGCCCUGAACUUUCCAGUUAAUUAAAGUUAAUUAACCUGUCCCUAUUUUUUAACCCAACCUGUCAUCUUCUCAAGAAGCAGAGAUAUAAAAGUAGCAUUAUUUUAAACUCUCCUUUCUUAAACAUUAUAAUAGAUAAUAGAAGGUUGAAUGAAAGGUUUUUGAAGUUCAUGGAUCCUGAAGAUAGUGACAUAAGUGAUGUAGUCAUUUGUGCUUAGGAGAGGGAAUGCCUGCUAGUUUAUAUUUUGUGAGAAAUUAUGUACGUGUGUAUGUGGUCUUAGUAUGAAGGAAUUGACUUACCAUUUGAAAUCAUGCUUUAUAUUCAUUUUGAAUACCUUUUCAGUUUUUUGAUAUCUGGUAAUACUUUGCUCUGUGUUAGUUGAAUUAUAUGAAAGUGUUACUGUUGAUCAAAAAUAGUUCAGUUUGUCCAUUCAAAUCCCACAGGUAUAGGGUGAGCAACACCCUGACCUGAUAGGUUUCAUAAUGCUAGAUGAAAUGUCAGAUUUCUUUUUCUGAAACGAGUACUUAGUUAUAAAAUAUCUGCUUAGAACAGUACUCCCUCCAGUCACUUUUCCAUUUUCUCCUUUCUUUGAAAAUGUAGUCACUGUUAGAAUAAAGCAUAUGACAUUAUUUCAUA